UGGGGAAUAUUGCACAAUGGGCGCAAGCCUGAUGCAGCCAUGCCGCGUGUGUGAAGAAGGCCUUCGGGUUGUAAAGCACUUUCAGCGAGGAGGAAGGGUAGUGUGUUAAUAGCACAUUGCAUUGACGUUACUCGCAGAAGAAGCUCCGGCUAACUCCGUGCCAGCAGCCGCGGUAAUACGGAGGGUGCAAGCGUUAAUCGGAAUUACUGGGCGUAAAGCGCACGCAGGCGGUUUGUUAAGUCAGAUGUGAAAUCCCCGCGCUUAACGUGGGAACUGCAUUUGAAACUGGCAAGCUAGAGUCUUGUAGAGGGGGGUAGAAUUCCAGGUGUAGCGGUGAAAUGCGUAGAGAUCUGGAGGAAUACCGGUGGCGAAGGCGGCCCCCUGGACAAAGACUGACGCUCAGGUGCGAAAGCGUGGGGAGCAAACA
rnacentral:rRNA from 1 species